CGGGAAGAUAUGUAGGGCGCACGGCGGAUGCCUUGGCACAGGAAGCCGACGAAGGACGCGGCAAGCUGCGAUAAUCCGCGGUUAGGGGCACACACCCUUCGACCCGCGGGUCUCCGAAUGGGCGAACCCGGCAGGCGCGGGCCUGCCAUCCCCCCCCGAAUGCAUAGGGCGGGGGAGGACAACCCGGGGAACUGAAACAUCUAAGUACCCGGAGGAGAAGAAAUCAAUACCGAGAUCCCCCGAGUAGCGGCGAGCGAAAGGGGGCCUGGGACAAACCGGUGAGCGCACGCGGGCGGCAGCCUUCGCGCCACCGGGGUUGUAGGACCGGCCAUGGGGCCCCUGCCGGGGCCCCGCGCGGCCGGGCGUGGGGAGCGGAACGGCAUGGGAGGGCCGGCCGCAGAGGGUCAAAGCCCCGUACGCGAACCCACGUCCCGGAAGCGGGCCGGCACCUGAGUAGGGCCGGGCACGUGAAACCCGGUCCGAACCCGGGGGGACCACCCUCCAAUCCUGAAUACUCUCCUGUGACCGAUAGCGCACGAGUACCGUGAGGGAAAGGUGAAAAGCACCCCGGGAGGGGAGUGAAACAGUACCUGAAACCGUGCGCCCGCGAGCAGUCGGAGCAGCCUUGCGCUGUGACGGCGUGCCUUUUGUAGAAUGAGCCAGCGAGUUGCCGGCCGGCGGCGAGGUUAACCGGAAGGGAGCCGUAGCGAAAGCGAGUCCGAACAGGGCGUCAAGUCGCCGGCCGCAGACGCGAAGCCGGGUGAGCUAUCCCUGGGCAGGCUGAAGCGGGGGUAAGACCCCGUGGAGGGCCGAACGGAAGUGGGUUGAAAACCGCUCCGAUGACCUGGGGAUAGGGGUGAAAGGCCUAUCAAACCCGGAGAUAUCUCGUUCUCCCCGAAAUAGCUUUAGGGCUAGCGUCGGGGGUUCACCGACGGAGGUAGAGCUACCGGAUGGACGAGGGGGCUUCGCCGCCUACCGACUCCAACCGAACUCCGAAUGCCGUCGGCCCACACCCCGGCAGUCAGAGCAUGUGGGCUAAGCUGUGUGCUCGAGAGGGAAACAGCCCAGACCGCCCGCUAAGGUCCCCAAAUCCACGCCGAGUGGCAAAGGAUGUGCGCUCGCGCAGACAACCAGGAGGUUGGCUUAGAAGCAGCCACCCCUUCAAAGAGUGCGUAACAGCUCACUGGUCGAGUGGGCGCGCGCCGACAAUACACGGGGCUAAGCGUGGUACCGAAGCGGCGGGAUGAUCAAUAUCAUCGGUAGGGGGGCGUCGCGCGCGGGGCGAAGCCGGAGGGCCACCGACGGUGGACCGCGCGCGAGCGAGAAUGCUGGCAUGAGUAGCGAGAGACGAGAGGGUAACUCGUCCGCCGUGAACCCGAGGUUUCCUGGGCCAGGCUAAUCCUCCCAGGGUCAGUCGGGGGCUAAGCCGAGGCCGGAAGGCGUAGGCGACGCGCAGCAGGCCGAUAUUCCUGCACCGCGAUGGCGGCGCUAUGACCGACGGGGCGACGGAUUGGGGUGGCUCGGCGGGGUUCUGGACGUCCCCGUGAUGGAGCGCGGCCCGCGGACCAGGGAAAUCCGGUCCGCACCAGGGCGAGGCUCCGGACGAAGCGAUUUUAAGCGAAGCGAGUGAGCCCGCGGUCCCCAGAAAAACCCCUAGGCAGGCGCCAUCGCGCCCGUACCGCAAACCGACACAGGUGGGUGGGUAGAACAUACCGAGGCGAUCGGGUCAACCAUGGUCAAGGAACUCGGCACAAUGGCCCCGUAACUUCGGGAGAAGGGGUGCCCGCGCGUACGUGGAGGGACUGGCUCCCCGAGCGGAGGCGGGCCGCAGUGAAGAGGCCCAAGCGACUGUUUACCAAAAACACAGGACUCUGCAGAAGCCGAAAGGCGACGUAUAGGGUCUGACGCCUGCCCGGUGCCGGAAGGUCACGGGGAGGGGUUAGCCUUCGGGCGAGGCCCCGAACCCAAGCCCCGGUAAACGGCGGCCGUAACUAUAACGGUCCUAAGGUAGCGAAAUUCCUUGUCGGGUAAGUUCCGACCUGCACGAAAGGCGCAACGACUUGGGCGCUGUCUCGACCAUGGACCCGGUGAAAUUGCACUAGUCGUGAAGAUGCGACUUACCCGCGGAAGGACGGAAAGACCCCGUGAACCUUCACUGCAGCUUGGCAUUGGCCGCCAGCGCGGCGCGUAGAGGAUAGGCGGGAGACGCCGAACCCGGGACGCCAGUCCCGGGGGAGUCGCCCUUGGAAUACCGCCCCCGCCGCGCCGGCGUCCUAACCCGCAGCCGCGAUCCGGUGCGGGGACCGUGCCAGGUGGGUAGUUUGACUGGGGCGGUCGCCUCCCAAAGAGUAACGGAGGCGCGCGAAGGUCCGCUCGGGACGGUCGGCAACCGUCCUUUUGAAUGCAAGAGUACAAGCGGGCUUGACUGCGAGUCCUACGAGACGAGCAGGUGCGAAAGCAGGCUCUAGUGAUCCGGCGGCCCCGAGUGGGUGGGCCGUCGCUCAACGGAUAAAAGGUACUCCGGGGAUAACAGGCUGAUCUUGCCCAAGAGUCCACAUCGACGGCAAGGUUUGGCACCUCGAU
rnacentral:rRNA from 1 species